rnacentral:rRNA from 1 species
GACUAACGCUGGCGGCGUGCCUAACACAUGCAAGUCGAGCGAUGAAAGCUAGAAGAUUACUUCGGUAUGAAACUAGAAGGAUUAGCGGCGGACGGGUGAGUAACGCGUGAGCAACCUACCUUAUACAAAGGGAUAGCCUCGGGAAACUGGGAUUAAUACCAUAUAAGACUACGAUAUCGCAUGAUAAAGUAGUUAAAGUGAUUAAGCGGUAUAAGAUGGGCUCGCGUCUGAUUAGCUAGUUGGUGAGAUAAAAGCUCACCAAGGCAACGAUCAGUAGCCGGCUUGAGAGAGUGAACGGCCACAUUGGGACUGAGACACGGCCCAAACUCCUACGGGAGGCAGCAGUGGGGAAUAUUGCACAAUGGGGGAAACCCUGAUGCAGCGACGCCGCGUGAAUGAUGAAGGCCUUCGGGUCGUAAAAUUCUGUCCUAAGGGAAGAUAAUGACGGUACCUUAGGAGGAAGCCCCGGCUAAUUACGUGCCAGCCGCCGCCGUAAAAC